CUCAACCUUAAACACAAUCGUGUUCUCUAUCGCCUAGAGCUCCGAUGAGGAGUCCCCCACAUACGCGAACCCACCUUGUGAAUAAACUUGAACCCCAAACUUAGAAUCUCUCACGAUAGAAACCCAAAAUCUAAAGGUAAAAUAAUAAUAAAAAACCUUACUUUCCAUGGCUUUAGGCUCCCUCAAAUCCAAAUUUACUAUGGUAGGUUGUUUACCUUCGUGAAAGGAGGCGACCUUGCUCAUAUGGAAAAGGUUUUGGAGCUACCGAGGUAUUUUGUUUCAAUUCCCACUGAUGACUCUCGUUUGCUCUGAUUAUCUCUCGAUGAUAUUUUAUUGUUGUUUUUCUGGUUCGUAAUCGCCUCCACCUUGUUUGUGUUUUCCUUUUUGCUUAUAAUUGCUCCCUGAUCCCAGUUUCUGAUGGUUGCUUAUUAUUUUUCUGUUGUUCACAUCCCUUGCAUUCUCGAGAAACAAAAACAAAUUCCUCCUAGGUAUGGGCUCGAGCAUGACGAAUAUGGGCGGCAGCAAUGGCCUAGGUGGGUGGUCGACAAGCAUGGUCUUUCUCAGUGAGUUUGCGCACUGUUUUGGAGUUCCAGAUGGAUCUACGCACGCUGGCUCGGUAUUCUGGGUGAACUGGAACCGUUGGAUCGUGAAGUUGGAUCCAACGGUCCUACUAUUGCGGCACUGGGAGCUGAUGACAGAAAACCCUAACGGGCUACAAUAUUGGGCUUCAACCUCCAAAUCGGGCUGCUCUAUCCUGGGCUGAAUCUUAUAGUCCUUUUGUAAUUAGGACUGUAGUUUGGACCUGUAACAUAAACGUUUAUUUAGUGCAUAUCAUAUAUAUAUAUUUAAUCACUUAGU